rnacentral:rRNA from 1 species
GUGGGGAAUCUUAGACAAUGGGCGCAAGCCUGAUCUAGCCAUGCCGCGUGAGCGAUGAAGGCCUUAGGGUUGUAAAGCUCUUUCGUGGGGGAAGAUAAUGACUGUACCCCAAGAAGAAGCCCCGGCUAACUCCGUGCCAGCAGCCGCGGUAAUACGGAGGGGGCUAGCGUUGUUCGGAAUUACUGGGCGUAAAGCGCACGUAGGCGGACUGGAAAGUCAGGGGUGAAAUCCCGGGGCUCAACCCCGGAACUGCCUUUGAAACUCCCAGUCUUGAGUUCGAGAGAGGUGAGUGGAAUUCCGAGUGUAGAGGUGAAAUUCGUAGAUAUUCGGAGGAACACCAGUGGCGAAGGCGGCUCACUGGCUCGAUACUGACGCUGAGGUACGAAAGCGUGGGGAGCAAACAGGAUUAGAAACCCUUGUAGUCC